CUGUUCGAGCGUCAUUUAUAUACCAAUCUAGCCUGGCUAGGUGUUGGGCUUCGCCGUCUGGCGGGCCUUAAAAACAGUGGCGGUGCUCUCAGGCUCUACGCGUAGUAAUUUUCUCGCUAUAGGUCCUGGGAGAUGCUUGCCAGCAACCCCAAAUUUUUCAGGUUGACCUCGGAUCAGGUAGGGAUACCCGCUGAACUUAA
rnacentral:misc_RNA from 1 species